GCCUGCACUUGAUUAGUUUGUUGGUGGGGUAAUGGCCUACCAAGACUUUGAUCAAUAGCUGAUUUGAGAGGAUGAUCAGCCACAUUGGGACUGAGACACGGCCCAAACUCCUACGGGAGGCAGCAGUGGGGAAUCUUGCACAAUGGAGGAAACUCUGAUGCAGCGAUGCCGCGUGAGUGAAGAAGGCCUUUGGGUUGUAAAGCUCUUUCGUCGGGGAAGAAAAUGACUGUACCCGAAUAAGAAGGUCCGGCUAACUUCGUGCCAGCAGCCGCGGUAAUACGAAGGGACCUAGCGUAGUUCGGAAUUACUGGGCUUAAAGAGUUCGUAGGUGGUUGAAAAAGUUGGUGGUGAAAUCCCAGAGCUUAACUCUGGAACUGCCAUCAAAACUUUUCAGCUAGAGUUUGAUAGAGGAAAGCAGAAUUUCUAGUGUAGAGGUGAAAUUCGUAGAUAUUAGAAAGAAUACCAAUUGCGAAGGCAGCUUUCUGGAUCAUUACUGACACUGAGGAACGAAAGCAUGGGUAGCGAAGAGGAUUAGAUACCCUCGUAGUCCAUGCCGUAAACGAUGUGUGUUAGACGUUGGAAAUUUAUUUUCAGUGUCGCAGCGAAAGCGAUAAACACACCGCCUGGGGAGUACGACCGCAAGGUUAAAACUCAAAUGAAUUGACGGGGACCCGCACAAGUAGUGGAGCAUGUGGUUUAAUUCGAAGAUACGCGCAGAACCUUACCAACACUUGACAUGUUCGUCGCGACUUUAAGAGAUUAAAGUUUUCGGUUCGGCCGGACGAAACACAGGUGCUGCAUGGCUGUCGUCAGCUCGUGUCGUGAGAUGUUGGGUUAAGUCCCGCAACGAGCGCAACCCUCACUUUUAGUUGCCAUCAUUUAGUUGGGCACUCUGAAAGAACUGCCAGUGAUAAGCUGGAGGAAGGUGGGGAUGACGUCAAGUCCU
rnacentral:rRNA from 1 species